rnacentral:rRNA from 1 species
UACGUAGGUGGCAAGCGUUAUCCGGAUUUAUUGGGCGUAAAGAGAACGCAGGCGGUCUUUUAAGUCUGAUGUGAAAGCCUUCGGCUUAACCGGAGUAGUGCAUUGGAAACUGGGAGACUUGAGUGCAGGAGAGGAGAGUGGAAUUCCAUGUGUAGCGGUGAAAUGCGUAGAUAUAUGGAGGAACACCGGUGGCGAAAGCGGCUCUCUGGCCUGUAACUGACACUGAGGCUCGAAAGCGUGGGGAGCAAACAGG